GGGAGUAGGAAGCGCGUCACCCGGGCCAUAAAUUUGCGGUGAUGGCGCCUCCGGCCGCCUCCCCAGACGGAGGGACAGGGCCGACUCCGGAGCAGGUGGGGCCGCCGAGACUCGACCUCCGCGGUAGGCGCUGCGCGGCUUCUCCCGACGCGGGUCCCGGGCGCGCUCGGCCGCCCCUCCCGCCGCAUCCGCCCGCGCCCGGCCCCGCCGCGGGAUUUCCAAAGGGCUUUUGUUCCGGGCUUGGAUGUAGAGGCUUUGAUUUUUUUACCACCCGCCUCAGGAGACUUUUUGCUUGGAAAAGUCCUGCUAUUAAAACAAAAACAAAAACCAAUCAAUUCCGGAGGGAAGAAAA
ensembl:lncRNA novel transcript